GGCUCCGCCGCACCCCUACUGUGCGAGCUCAAUCCAAACCUCCGGAAUCCCGCGCCGGUGGGAAACACGUGCGCUUCCAGGCUCAGGAUUGUUUAGCCUUCCACGGCGAGCGGGAAGGUGAUGGUGGGAGAAAAUAGUCUCUUUUCUGCAAGACAUCGCUCACAGCACUGGCAGCGCCAGUGUUUUUUAGCUGGUUUGGAGGGAGGCUGUUUUGUGUGUGUUUGGUACUGAGGAUCGAACCCAGCGGCGCUCUACCCCAGAGCUAUAUCACCAUCCGUUUCCGUUUAUUUGGAGAUAAGGUCUCGCUGAAUUGCCUAGGCCCCACGCGAACUUGCGGUCCUUCUCGGUCAGCGCCGGGGUUGCAAGCGUGGGCCACAGUCCCCAGGCUGGCAGGGCUUUUAAGGACCUACUUUAGCAGAGGGAAGCAAGGAGCUGAUUCUGCUUUCCCUGCAACUGCGAAGUGACCCAUGGGCUCCUCUGCUGUUCCGGAGGGAAAUUCUUGCAGAUCCCGUAGCUUUUCAGAGGUGCGUCCCAGGCCAAGCCACGCGCAACACCGCCCCAGUCCGCGGGAGGCGCUGGGCGCACACUGGGGCGCCGGCGGGGCCUCAGCCCUCCUCCUUCCGGCCCGGGGCUCCGUGGGGCGGGCGCGGGGGGAGCGGUAAGGGGUGAGGCCCGAUGCCCAGAGCACUUUGGUGGGCGGUUAGGAAAACCCACCGCGACACUCAGCUGUGGCACCGCCAAGAAAGUGGUGCUCACAUCGCCUCGGUGUCGGCAGGCGACCCUUCACACACUUCCAGGCACACUGGAUGCGCUUUUGCAAGGAGACCCUUGGGGAGGUGGUCUACAGGAAACAGCUGGAAGCGCAGCUUACUGUGUGUCACUCGUGGUCACCUGUCCACUUCUCAGAUCACAGUCAGAUUCCAAACCCCAGAGCGCCACCUCGAAGACCCCUCAGAUAGUUUUCUUUCAUCCAGCACCUUGUACUCCCUGCUGUCCAGGGGGACCCUGCCAGGUGCUGAGGCUGUGCCAGACUGCAGCCCAGCCAGGUCAUCUGUGCUGUUUGAGCCCUGCUUGUGAGAGACCAGGGCCACAAGAAUUUACCAGUUGUCAAGGAAUACAGAAAAGUUAAAGAGUUUAUUGAUGGACUGCAAGAGGGCAGCAGGUGAGUGAGUCCAAGAGAAGGCUGCACUGUCACGGUGAAAACUGGUUUUUGUUUUUGUUUUGUUUUGUUUUUUGAGACAAGAGUCUUGUUUUGUAGUUCAGGCUGGCCUCUAACUCAUAGCAAGCUUCCUGCCUCAACCUCCUGAGGCUGGGGUAUCAGCUACCACGCCUAGCUAAAAAGCUGAAGUUUUUAUCUUUGAUUUUAGCAUAGGGAGGGGACUUGUAAACUUCAUCCCAGGAAUGUUUCAUCAGAUCCUGGUGGUUCUGUUGUCCAUCUCAAUUCUAAACAGAGCCAAGUGUUGUCUGAAGACUGAUGAAAUGUUUUCUGACAGAACCCUUGGUGCUGGAAACACUUCUCAGUAAAAUUAAUAAAUUGGAAAGAUUAAAGUUGGUGGAAAGGGGGAGGGGAGCAGGACAAAACAAGUAUGUUUAUACUUGAAAUGGGCUUUGGAUGUUGUACUGGGAUGGGAGAGAAAUGGUACUCUUUAAGGCAUGUCUAGCAGUUAGAGCAGGUGGUGAUGAAUGGAUGAUCUUUUGCCCAUAGCUUACAUGGUGGUCUCACCACUCAGCUGCAGUGUGGUCUGUAAAGUGUUGGGAGCCGCGGCCGACACCGGUCGCCUUACUUGGCAGACGUAGGGCCUGUGGGUGGGAGCGGAGCCUGAGCUAGAUUGCCCCUCCCAUCGAGUGAGUCAAGUUGGCGCCUGCUUCCUGCCCCCUGAUUGCGCUGGUGACUUAAACAGCCCGCGCAAUAGAAUAGUCUGCCUAGCAACAACUGAUGUUAGCCAAUCAGCCCGCAUCGCGCGCUUUGAACUGAUUGGCCACUGUUACCCUAUAAAAGUAAAUGCCUCUCCCGCCACGAGGGAGAAGCACAGAGAGAAAGCACAGAGAGAGAUAGAGAAAGUCCACCGGCGAGAAAGGGCUGGUGGCAGAGAGGAGGCCUCGCGGGGCCCACGCGGAGACAAAUAAAGGCAAGGUUGCACACCGCCAGACUUUGUCGUGUGUCUUUCCUGCCGGCCGGGAGCGACCCCGACAUUUGGUGACCCGCACGGGGACUGAUCAACCCCGAGACACGGCGGUGGUGUGCAACGCUCCAGCGUGGUGCUGCCGGACAGGUGAGUUGGGGAUAAGCCUGGGCUCUGGGUGGCGCGCACCUACAGGGCUUUUAGACUCCCCUCAGGCUCACGCGUAGGUGACGGGUUCUUUAAGUCACACGCGGUGAGUUACAGCCCUUAGAGGUUGAGGAUGGGUAAUUUACCGAGCGCGGAGGCGCGGCCCUUGGUAAAGGCCCUUAGGAAGCUUUUAAAAGCUAGAGACCUCAGGGUAGGUCAAAAAACACUGAAACUAUUCAUAGCAGAGAUAGAUAGGGUGGCUCCCUGGUUUUUACCCACAGGGCAUUUAAACCUGCCGUCAUGGGAGAAGUUAGGCAGGGACCUCGCCUCGGCGGAAUUGGGAGGCGAUAUUUCGCCGGCUAUUCGCCCCCUGUGGGAAAUGAUACAUGCGUGCCUUGACUCCUAUGCCGAGUUGCGCCGCGAAUUGUGUGCGUGCGCCGCUCGAAAAAAGCAGAGAGAGGAAAAAGGACCCCCGAGCGCUCUCUGGCGGGGAGGAGAUAGAGAGCCAUCCGCUCCGCCCUGGAGCUCUUCUCCAGAAGCGGCUCCCCGCCGAGAGGCCGCUACAGGGAACCCUCCCUUCUCUCAGCCGGCACAGGAAGUGACGCCCCGUUCCACUCUGUCGCGACCGCCGUCCUAUGACGUUGCGCCGCGGGGCGGACGGUAUUUUCAUGGGCGGCUACUCUGCCGAGCAGGCUGAGAAAAACGCCGGUCGAGGAAACGGGGGCUGGGGAUUUAGCUCAGCGGCAUAAGCGCCUGCCUUGUAAGCAGGCAAUCGCGAGUUCGAUCCCUGGUACCGAUAAAAAAAAAAAAAAAAAAAAAAAAACGAAAAAGACCAAAAAUAAAAAAAAUAAAAAAUAAAAAACAAAAAGGGGGAGUAAGCCAAGGCCUGCCUCCAAAGGCGCGGUUAUCUAUGGCAUGACAAUGGAUGGGCCCGGAUCCGGUGGUUAGCUGGAACCGAGGCGCGGUUUGUGUUUUUCCGCAGGAACCGGGACGAAAACCACUGUGGGUCCCAGAGAGGUUGACGCGACAAGUCCCUCGACUGAAGAUCAGGCCUGUUCCACCAGAGGCCAACCGCAGACCCAACAACAAGAUGAGCCCUAAAAGAACUGCAGGACAAUCCCUUUUUGGGGAGCCUGGAAUGGCUUGCUCCCCUAUGUUUUACCAUUGCUAGGCCCUCUAUGCUCCUUGUUCUUGCUCCUGCUUAUAGGACCAUGCUUGCUCCGAUGGGUUACAUCAUUUAUUAAUGGGCGCCUUGCGGCGGCCCGGCGUCAAGUACGCCUGGUUGCCCAUGCGGCCCUGGCAGCAGCCCGUGAUGGGCACAAUGACCCCCAGGCCUACGCAUGGCUCGCUCGACUGGCCUACGACCGGGUCUAGAUGUGGCGGGUCUUCCGCACUCCUUCCCUAAUGACACCACACAGCAGGGUAGGUGAGUCAAUGACGGGUAAGAGCGUGCCUCCCCAGCACGACUCGACCUAAGCCAGGCCCUACCCCAUGGCGCACGAAAGCCGCUGGAUUACUAGAAUCUGACCAGAUCUAGAUGCCUCUCCGAGGGGAUCACACGGAGGGGCAUGAGUGCAUGCCUAUGUGCAUCCAGGUUCCGUCCAGUUCACUCCUGGCCCUGGAAAAAGGACGAGGGUCUCAAGGCCUUGGCGGACCCGGGGCGGCCGACCAGGGUCCAAGCCAAGGGCCUACGGUGGGCCUCAACACAGGGCAUAAGCCUCUGCACUCGAUCCAGGGCGGGCUGCGAUGCAUACAUUCAUUCAAAGUAAAUAAAUUAGGGGGAGAUGUUGGGAGCCGCGGCCGACACCGGUCGCCUUACUUGGCAGACGUAGGGCCUGUGGGUGGGAGCGGAGCCUGAGCUAGAUUGCCCCUCCCAUCGAGUGAGUCAAGUUGGCGCCUGCUUCCUGCCCCCUGAUUGCGCUGGCGACUUAAACAGCCCGCGCAAUAGAAUAGUCUGCCUAGCAACAACUGAUGUUAGCCAAUCAGCCCGCAUCGCGCGCUUUGAACUGAUUGGCCACUGUUACCCUAUAAAAGUAAAUGCCUCUCCCGCCACGAGGGAGAAGCACAGAGAGAAAGCACAGAGAGAGAUAGAGAAAGUCCACCGGCGAGAAAGGGCUGGUGGCAGAGAGGAGGCCUCGCGGGGCCCACGCGGAGACAAAUAAAGGCAAGGUUGCACACCGCCAGACUUUGUCGUGUGUCUUUCCUGCCGGCCGGGAGCGACCCCGACAGUAAAGAAACAAUGCUAAAAUAACCACAGCUCCGUGCAUUCCACGACCUUACCAGAGAGUCCUUGCUGACAAGGAUGUCGACUCGAGAGCACACACAGCUUUCCCCAAGGCCCCCUCUUGGUUUUGAUCCUGCUUUUGUGUUUUUUGAUAUUUUUUAAAUUUUAAAACAAAAUAAAAAAUAAAAAUACUGAAUUUCAAAACAAAA